AAUGACCGGUUUAUGAUGUUUCGACGUGGCCCCACAAAUAAGAAGAAACAUAACAAAUCUGAUGUUGGAGAAAGAGGUCGACGUCAUAGGACUUUAAUUCAUAUCUCAAGUGACGGGAACAAUGAUGUUACAUCACUCACAAAUUCCAGAAUGUGAGUCAUGGUAUGUAUGAUCAAAUAAUGGUGAGAAAGUUUUGCUCAUGAACUUCAACAAUUAUGAGUAAAUAUCUUUUAUAUUCCAAUGCAUGUUUGCAUUAAUCCAUAUGUUCACACUAUUUAGUUUAAAUUUCCUCAGCCAUAACUUGUUCUAUUUCAUAUAUUCAUCUCACAUGCAUUAUAGGAAAACUCACCAUGAUCAUGCUCUUUUAUCUCUAUCUGAAUAAAUCUCUACUAUAUUUUCAUGUUACUUUUAUUUGCUAUAGUAUAUGUUUAGGUUUGGAGUAGUUUCAUUUAUCUCUUAAAUAAAGCAUGGUGCCUAGUUUAGGAGUGAUAAUCUUACUCUCAAAGGCUUUUAAUUAGACGUGGUUAAAAUGCCUUCUUUAAUCAAAUUAGACAUGGUGUCUAGGUUGAUUUUUGAGCCGAUCAGAAUAACCCCUGCAGGAAAAUUUUGUAUUAAAUCUAGGAAAGUCAAGAGAUAAGUUCACACCAGGGAUAAAUCAAGGCAGAUGAUAACUUUGCACUAAAAGUCCAACUUGUGAGUAGUAAUAUUUAUCCGUUUAUCUUUUGUUACAAGUUAUCUUUACCUUGAACCAUGAUAGAUUGCAACAACAACAAAAAACACAAUAGACACAAUUUAUGCUAAAUAAUCUUAAUCCAUAUAUCAUCUUGACUAGCAUAAAAGAAAAUAAAAAUAAAAAAAGUAUGGACAACAAAACCCAUAUUUCAAUCUUGCUAUUCCCUCAGGUAUGUGUCCAUUAAUGUUUUGCAGGAAUGAACAACCUUAAUCUAUUGGAGAAGAAGUUUUCAAGUGAACAUUAUUGCAUCUCCAAUAGACCCCAGCUCAUCAACCACAAAUUAAUCAAAUAAGUCAGGAAAAGGUUGAUGAGUGAAGAGUAUGUAAUCUUCUAUAGUUUCAUUGAAUGAUGAAAAGGCGAAGAAUAAAAGGAAGGCCUUGCUCAGCAAGACCAGGAGCUCUCACCAACAAAUGAACUCGAACCCUCCU
rnacentral:lncRNA from 1 species